UGCCCCAGUAACGGCGAGUGAAGCGGCAACAGCUCAAAUUUGAAAUCUGGCUCCCUCGGGGGUCCGAGUUGUAAUUUGCAGAGGAUGCUUCGGGCGAGGUGCCUUCCGAGUCCCCUGGAAUGGGGCGCCGCAGAGGGUGAGAGCCCCGUACGGUUGGACGCCGAGCCCGUGUGAAGCUCCUUCGACGAGUCGAGUAGUUUGGGAAUGCUGCUCAAAAUGGGAGGUAAAUGCCUUCUAAAGCUAAAUACCGGCCAGAGACCGAUAGCGCACAAGUAGAGUGAUCGAAAGAUGAAAAGCACUUUGGAAAGAGGGUUAAACAGCACGUGAAAUUGUUGAAAGGGAAGCGCCCGUGACCAGACUCGCGGGCGGCGGAUCACCCGGCGUUCUCGCCGGCGCACUCCGCCGCCCUCGGGCCAGCAUCGGCUCUGGCGGGCGGAGAAAGGGGUUGGGAACGUGGCUCCCCCGGGAGUGUUAUAGCCCAGCCCGUAAUGCCCCCGCCGGGACCGAGGACCGCGCUUCGGCAAGGAUGCUGGCGUAAUGGUCACUAGCGACCCGUCUUGAAACACGGACCAAGGAGUCAAGGUUUGGCGCGAGUGUUUGGGUGUCAAGCCCGCACGCGUAAUGAAAGUGAGCUUUAGGUGAGAGCCUCGGCGCAUCACCGACCGAUCCUGAAGUGCUCUGACGGAUUUGAGUAGGAGCGUUAAGCCUUGGACCCGAAAGAUGGUGAACUAUGCUUGGAUAGGGUGAAGCCAGAGGAAACUCUGGUGGAGGCUCGCAGCGGUUCUGACGUGCAAAUCGAUCGUCAAAUCUGAGCAUGGGGGCGAA
rnacentral:rRNA from 1 species